rnacentral:lncRNA from 1 species
GUCUGUCUAGAAUUCCAAAGGCAAAUGACUCAAGGUAACAGGAAAAAAGAAAAUCCAGUAUCAGGAUAAUCAGAACACCACAGGUUUACAGUUUGUAGAAACUAGAACACGAGCAGCUCUCACUUAAGGUCUGUGAUGGAACUCCAGUGGAGAAAUGGCUGGUACUUUUUCCACCCCUUAAUCAGAUUUUUUUUUUAAUUAAAGUAUGUAACCGGUUAUUUUUACUUGAAGUAUUUUGGGGUGGUCUUAACAGGGAAGAGGGUGGGGGAGAAAAUGUUUUUUUCUAAGACUUUCCACAGAUGCUAUAGUACUAUUGACAAACUGAGUUAGAGAAGGAUUGUACUGCUAUGCUGUUGGCACCAAACACCUUCAGGGAUUGGAGCUGCUUUUUUCCUUGGAGUAUUCCCAGUGAAGCUGAAAUAUACAGCACAGUGCAGCUUUGGUUCAUAUUCAGUCAUCUCAGGAGAACUUCAGAAGAGCUUGACUAGGCCAAAUAUUGAAGUUAAGUUUUCAAAUAAUGGAACUUUUUAAGAUGCCUUUUAAAGGGGAGGGGCAAGUUUUGGCAAUUAGUUGGCAGUGGCCUGUUUUGGUUGGGGUUGGGUGGGUUGGGUUUAGGUAAUUGUUUAGUUUAUGAUUUCAGAUAACUCAUGCCAGAGAACUUAAAUACUUAGGAUGGAAAAACUAAAGAAAUCUCACCUCCCAAGUUGGCAAGUAACUCCUGAUCCUCUAGUUUCUUGUUUUACCCCAAUUUUUGAACUGGACAGCUGGGAACUUCAAAGAUUCACUGGAUUUAAAGUGUAGGGCUUGGGAAAGGAAAGUGUUGGAUUGGGGGUUGGUCUAGCCCACUGGGUUGACCAAGAUAAAAACUUGGGGAAUUGUUUAAACACUAAAGUUGUUUGGAUAUGGUAGUGUGUGGUUCUCUUUUGGAAUUUUUUUCAGGUGAUUUAAUAAAACUUAAUACUACUAUAGGAGCUUCAGAGCAAAGGAAGUGGCUUAAUGAUCCUGAAGGGAUUUCUUCUGAUGGUAGCUUUUAUAUUAUCAAACUUUUUUCAGAUAACAUCUUCUGAGUCAUACCCAGCCUGGCAAUAUGAUGGCCUAGAUGGAGAGGGGAACAGCUCCUUGGUGAAUGAUAAGUUUCUCAUUAUCAGAAGAGUUGCUUCAUAUCAUCUGGGAGCAGAAAACAGCAGGCAGCUGUUCACAGAUAAGUUUAACUUGCAUCUGCAGUAUUGCAUGUUAGGGAUAAGUGCUAUGUUUAAUAAGAGCUGUGGAGGUCCUAGGUCCCUUACUCAAGGGAUCUCAGGAUUUUGA